AUUAGACAAUUAAACAAAUGUGUUUGCCGGUUCGCUUGAUUAAGCUGUGAAUCUCUGGCCAUUACGUCAUAGAUCAAGUGCUGGUGACUUCGUUCCACCUGUUGAAAGAUACUAUUGAAAAUUCUCUUCAUUCCGGUUAAUCGACACGGAAAUUUGUCCUUGAAAUCAGCUGUAAUCACAAAUUAGAUCGAAACGUCGACAUUUCUUCAAACUUUUGUUGCCAGUGGAAUAUUUGUCAUAAGUUAACAUUAGUUUUCGACAAAGGAAAGUGGUUCGGAGGGGAAUUUCAACAUUUGUCCGAGGUUAACCUCUCGGGAGGAAUUGGAAGACAUGAGGUUGUUUCUCUUAACUUUUGCAUAUGGCAUUUUCUCCUUGGUUUGUUCUGCUCCUCUAGAUGUUCGGAUAGCAAAAGAACUUUCAUCACUAAGACGCCCUAGGAGACAGCUCGCUUAUGCAGGUAAUU